UGCGCAUCACGCUCAGGUGUGCUCCUCAGGUGUCUGCUAAUGUUAGUGCUAACUGAACCAUAGCAACAUCGUCUGUCUUUAUAUUUAGUCUCAUUAGUCACAUUACAUAGUGCUCGUUAAAAUCGGAUAUGUCGUUUUAGUUGAAAGUUGUUGGUUGAACUCAAAAUUCUGUAUUUUCUUCUUGUUUCUUUGUACAGGUGUGUGCAGGUGUUUCCUCGCUCUGUGCUGCAGCUCAGAGGAACUCUGUCGACGUCUUCCAGGAGGAUCCCCCGUCGGUGGCCGUCUUCCUGCUCAGGUAGGAGACUCAAAGCUUUCUUAAUGUUGUUUUAUUAUGUUCCAGGUUUUAGGUCUUAUAGAUGUUUAGACUCAGUUAUUUUAAUCAUUUGAUCCUUUUUGGAGUGGAGGAACAUCAGGUGUUUAAUGAAAUACUACAGUUUUAUAAUCCUUAGGUAUCGUUAGUCAACAGCUUAGCUACAUAGAGUUAUCAGUAUGUUGAUGUUAAAGCUGAUUUAAGGGAGUAAGUG